rnacentral:rRNA from 1 species
AACGAACGCUGGCGGCAGGCCUUACACAUGCAAGUCGAGCGCCCAUUUCGGUGGGAGCGGCAGACGGGUGAGUAACACGUGGGAACAUACAUUUUAGUUCGGAAUAACUCAGGGAAACUUGUGCUAAUACCGAAUAUUCUCGAGAGAGGAAAGAUUUAUCGCUAAAAGAUUGGCCCGCGUUAGAUUAGAUAGUUGGUGAGGUAACGGCUCACCAAGGCGACGAUCUAUAGCUGGUCUGAGAGGAUGAUCAGCCACAUUGGGACUGACACACGGCCCAAACUCCUACGGGAGGCAGCAGUGGGGAAUAUUGGACAAUGGGCGCAAGCCUGAUCCAGCCAUGCCGCGUGAGUGGUGACGGCCUUAGGGUUGUAAAGCUCUUUUACUCGGGAAGAUAAUGACUGUACCGAGAGAAUAAGCCCCGGCUAACUUCGUGCCAGCCGCCGCCGUAAAAC